GAUGAACGCUGGCGGCGUGCCCAAUACAUGCAAGUCGAGCGAACGGACGAGAAGCUUGCUUCUCUGAUGUUAGCGGCGGACGGGUGAGUAACACGUGGAUAACCUACCUAUAAGACUGGGAUAACUUCGGGGAAACCGGAGCUAAUACCGGAUAAUAUUUUGAACCGCAUGGUUCAAAAGUGAAAGACGGUCUUGCUGUCACUUAUAGAUGGAUCCGCGCUGCAUUAGCUAGUUGGUAAGGUAACGGCUUACCAAGGCAACGAUGCAUAGCCGACCUGAGAGGGUGAUCGGCCACACUGGAACUGAGACACGGUCCAGACUCCUACGGGAGGCAGCAGUAGGGAAUCUUCCGCAAUGGGCGAAAGCCUGACGGAGCAACGCCGCGUGAGUGAUGAAGGUCUUCGGAUCGUAAAACUCUGUUAUUAGGGAAGAACAUAUGUGUAAGUAACUGUGCACAUCUUGACGGUACCUAAUCAGAAAGCCACGGCUAACUACGUG
rnacentral:rRNA from 1 species